rnacentral:rRNA from 1 species
UACGGGGGGUGCAAGCGUUGUUCGGAAUUACUGGGCGUAAAGGGCUCGUAGGCGGCUUGGCAAGUCGGGUGUGAAACCUCCAGGCUCAACCUGGAGACGCCACUCGAUACUGCCAUGGCUAGAGUCCGGUAGGGGACCACGGAAUUCCUGGUGUAGCGGUGAAAUGCGUAGAUAUCAGGAGGAACACCGGUGGCGAAGGCGGUGGUCUGGGCCGGAACUGACGCUGAGGAGCGAAAGCGUGGGUAGCAAACAGG